AGAGAGGAAAAGAAUAUCCUUGCUGUGCCAAGAAAGAAAAGACCAUGGAUCUACUAGUUGCAGAUUUCAGCAGUAAUGCCAAGGGGGCAAGAAGUGACCAGCAGAACAAUUAGGCCAUGGCAACAGAAGCCAACUACAACCCAUGUUCCAAUCUAUGACCUCCCUCUCCUGCUGGUACAAGGAUAUGAUCUGGAGUCUGGGAAGUUCAAGAGCAUGGCACCAACAUCUGGCAAGGGCUUUCAUUCUGCAUCAUCUCAUGGAGGAAAAUAAAAAGGAGGCUGGAUGCUCCUGUGAAGUACGUCUUUUAUCUACUUGCUAUCUUUGCAAUUCCUUCAUGCUACAAUGAGAGAUAGAGUUUAAACCUGAAAACAUUCUUGGAAAAGGAAUCUUCAUUAAUUCAAAUAUACCACAAGAUUUCAGGUAAAUCCAGAUUUGGAGCUUAAAUGACUCAAAUGCUUUGCCUACAUUGAUCCUACAUUCAGGCUGCUUACAUAUCUCUUGGCUUCUCUGAGAACCAGAUUGUCACCACUUAAAGUGUCUUCCAGAGUCCUCACGAGUAUCAGAGAAGGCAUAAUCUGUACACGUGGCUUCAUUUAAAAUGAAAAUAUCAAGCAGUGUCAUUUUCACAAGUAUCCCCACACUGUCUGAGGCUGAAAAGAAGAGUGUAGCUAUGCACACUGCAGUGAGAAGAAAAUUUCAGCUCAAUUGGAGGAUGUAAAGAUUGAAAUACCACUGCUCCUAGUUCUGAUGCAAAAUUGAAAAGAGUGCACUGGGUCUUCAAAUGGCAUAUUGACAAGGAGAAAGAGGAAAGGAUGCCCCAGGACAGCCUGGGGGUCAAGGCUGGGCUCAGGCAUGCCUGGACAAGCCAUGCAAGUUGUCUCCGGACUUGAACCACGUAUCAGAGGAGCUAUUUGAGGAGCCACAUCAGCAUACCUGCUUCUGUGGGCCCCCAGGCUGUGGUGCUCAGCCCUUGCACUAUGAAACAUUUUUUUUUUCCAGAAGCCAAAGCUUUGAGCAUCUCCUCCCAUGUAGAGAGUGUAUAUGUUUACGUCCAUGUCUUUCGCCAUGUGAACGCAUGCAACCACCACCUCAAAUAUCAUAAAUCCUCUCUCUCCCCCUUUCUGUCUGCCUGUUUAUCUACAAUCUGUCUAUUUAAAUUCUUUUUAAACAAGAAGGGAAUAUCUUUAUGCCUGUUUGUAGGGAUAUUCUACAUCCAUCUGUUAUUUACAUCAUUCGUUUUCCUGAGGUGUCUCCAACAAAUCCUGGCUGGAUGCACUGUAUGUGUUAUUAAUAAAACAGCUGUAAAAA
rnacentral:lncRNA from 1 species